GACGAACCGUGCGAACGUUGUUCGGAUUCACUAGGCUUAAAGGGCGCGUAGGCGGACAAUCAAGUCAGGGGUGAAAGCCUCCAGCUCAACUGGAGAAGUGCCUUUGAUACUGACUGUCUCGAGGGAGGUAGGGGCAUGUGGAACUUCCGGUGGAGCGGUGAAAUGCGUAGAUAUCGGAAGGAACGCCGGUGGCGAAAGCGACGUGCUGGACCUCUUCUGACGCUGAGGCGCGAAAGCGUGGGGAGCGAACAGG
rnacentral:rRNA from 1 species